rnacentral:rRNA from 1 species
UACGUAGGGGGCUAGCGUUGUCCGGAAUCAUUGGGCGUAAAGCGCGUGUAGGCGGCCCGGUAAGUCCGCUGUGAAAGUCGGGGGCUCAACCCUCGGAUGCCGGUGGAUACUGUCGGGCUCGAGUACGGAAGAGGCGAGUGGAAUCCUGGUGUAGCGGCGAAAUGCGUAGAUAUCAGGAGGAACACCGGUGGUGCAGACGGCUCUCUGGACCGGCGACUGACGGCUGAGACACGAAAGCGUGGGUAGCAAACAGG